rnacentral:rRNA from 1 species
AUUGAACGCUGGCGGCAUGCCUUACACAUGCAAGUCGAACGGUAACGCGGGGCAACCUGGCGACGAGUGGCGAACGGGUGAGUAAUGCAUCGGAACGUACCCAGUAGUGGGGGAUAGCCCGGCGAAAGCCGGAUUAAUACCGCAUACGACCUAUGGGUGAAAGCGGGGGAUCGCAAGACCUCGCGCUAUUGGAGCGGCCGAUGUCAGAUUAGGUUGUUGGUGGGGUAAAAGCCUACCAAGCCUGCGAUCUGUAGCUGGUCUGAGAGGGCGACCAGCCACACUGGGACUGAGACACGGCCCAGACUCCUACGGGAGGCAGCAGUGGGGAAUUUUGGACAAUGGGCGCAAGCCUGAUCCAGCCAUGCCGCGUGCGGGAAGAAGGCCU